AUGGCAUUAAUAUCUAUGGAUACAUUUGCUGAAUUUCUGGAACGUGAUUUGAAUUUGCCUUAUUUCCCUAGAGGCGUGCCACUCCAGGAGUCUCCCUUGGUGUUGGUUGAGAUUUUUGUGGGACUUGCUGGUCAUGGGGAAUGUGAACAACCAACGCCAUGGAGGGUGGGGCAGUGGAAAAACCUCCAGAUUCAUAGUAUCCUUCUCAGAAGACCAGGGCUGGGAAUGCUGUAUGGAGGGGACAGAAGUAGCCCACCAUUAUUCACAUCGGCCUCAUGCAGAGACUACCCUAAGGAAGCAAGGUCCCUUCCAUUCCUCAUCAGAAAACAGUGGAAUAAGCCCAGGCUUCAUGGCUGCACAGUGUUUUGGGGCUUGAUGCAAUCAGCACAUUGUCAUCAGCAAAGAGGAGCAUCUGGAGCACCAUACUAUCUAUAG
rnacentral:lncRNA from 1 species